rnacentral:rRNA from 1 species
UACGUAGGGGGCAAGUGUUGUCCGGAAUCAUUGGGCGUAAAGAGCGUGUAGGCGGCUUGGCAAGUCUGACGUGAAAGCCCGCGGCUCAACCGCGGAUUGUCGUUGGAAACUGCCUCGCUAGAGUCCGGAAGAGGAGAGCGGAAUCCUGGUGUAGCGGUGGAAUGCGCAGAUAUCAGGAAGAACACCCGUGGCGAAGGCGGCUCGUCUGGAAUGUCCUGACGCUGAGGAGCGAAGUGUGGGAGCGAACAGG